CUUGUACAGUCUAUAUAUAAGUAGAAUUACACUGAUACAAGGUGUGGUUAACAGGAGGCACCAUGAAUGUGGUCUUGGAUUUGCCCUACACUCUGUGUAUCUGGAUCUCUGCUGCAGUUGUCGUCAUCUACACUCUGCUGGGAGGUUUCUACUCUGUGGCCUACACUGAUAUUAUUCAGCUUGUUCUUAUAUUCAUUAGCUUGUGGCUGUGUGUUCCCUUUGUCUUGAUGAACCCUAACUGCUUGGACAUCAGCAAGACACUGAUGAACAACACCUUACACGCUCCCUGGAUUGGUGCACCAGGACUGGAGAAGACCGGGAUCAUGAUGGAUGAAUUCUUGAUGUUUGUAAGAUGGAGCAAAACUGUGGCUGAUGUCAAAUGUACUUCACUAGUGUUGAGAGAAAUCCUCAAGAUAAAGACACAUGACUCAUAUAUUUAAUUCUGUUUCAUUUUCAAGGCACUGGGAAGUCUGGGAUUUCAGUUUUUACACCAGAGGACGUUGGCAGCUUCUUCAUUAGCCACAGCUAAGCUCUCGUGCUUAGUUGCUGCUUUCCUCAUACUUGUGUUUGGAACACCUCCAAUACUGCUUGGGGCAGCUGCUGCAUCUACAGAUUGGAACCUGACGUCUUAUGGUUCUCCAUUUCCAUAUGAACGGGGGGAAGCAGCUCAAGUCCUGCCCAUCACAUUACAGCACCUCACCCCGUCCUUCAUCUCCAUAAUCGGAACUGGAUGUGUUGCUGCUGCUGUGAUGUCAUCUGCUGAUUCUGCUUUGAUUUCUGCUGCUUCUGUCUUCACCUCCAACAUAUACAAGAACAUCCUGAGGCCACAGGUGAGAACAUUGAAUUAUAAGUU